GCUUUUGUCUCGCUUCCGUUGCGGGGGGCGUGGGCGCCGGCUGGCAGCGGAAGAAUCGGAUGCUUGUAUUUCGCCUCUUUCGGGGGCGGGGUGGCAUGGGGCAUGCUCUUGGGCUCCCGGGCCGCGACCUGGUGGCCUGGCGUCCCGCGGGGCGCGCCGACCGGUGUUUCCGGUGGGGCGUGGCUUGCGCGCGGACCCGUGGUUUGAGAACUGGAUAGUGGACGCGAGCGGGCACGGCCCGCCUCCCUUCCCCCUUUUCUUGGGGGUGUGUGGUGGCGUGGCUUGUUGCUCGUUGUGAUUUUUCCUGAUUCCCGGCGCCUAGCGCGCCGGGGUCGAUCGUUUUGUGAUCGUCAGUGUGAUGAUUGUCGUCUGGCAUUUCCGGGCACUUGGUGCCCGGGCUCGUUCGCCGGCGUGCGCGUGCGCCUUUCGUGGCGCGUGUGUGUAUGCCGGUCAGGGCUUUUGGUGGAUGC
rnacentral:misc_RNA from 1 species